rnacentral:rRNA from 1 species
AUGCUCGCGAUAGACGAGAAUGCUACAAUCUCUGAUGUAGAGAGAGACCAUAUGGAAGUCAUUGAAAAGCUUGUCCCUGAUUUAGCAUCUCUGCGGGCUAAGCUCUGCCCUUCUUACAUGGAUGAAGAUGCAUUCUGGAAGAUAUACUUCAAACUACUUGAGUCAAGCCUAAGUGAACAUACUUCAGAGGAAGAUACCCAGAGUGUGCAAGUUUCUGUGCAUCGCGUAAAUGAGAUAGAGUCUCCACCUCAUGUCUGUGAGAUAGAAAGCGAGAAAGGCACUCAAGAGGGUUACCAAUCUUCCGGGAGCCAUGCCUUGUCAAAAACACGAUCCGAGCAAAGCAUGGACCAGUGGGUGUUUGCAAAGUCAAAGUCGGAGCAGAGCAUGGAUCAGUGGUCCGAAAUACCUUCCGACGUAGAGUCCUUUAGAGAAGGUCAUAAAAGGUACUUCAGCAGCGAGGCCGAGGAGAUGAGCGACGUCGACAACUCCAAUGUGCUCGUCAUGGACAAAUACAUGGACUCGCUCCUGCCGGACCGGAGAAGCCUCCCGUACGCCAGCUCCUCCGUGAGAAGCGAUUCGGUAAGAAGGAAGCCCGCCGCCUCCUCCCCCGACUACAGCCGCCGCCCUCCGCAGCCCACCCCGCCCGCGUCGCUGUCGAAGAAGGAAUCAUGGGAUCUCAUUCAGGAUUCGGAGUUUGAGAUACUGGACAGCUAG